UUAUUCUUUUUAAUUAUAGCCCAAGUUGCUACUUAAAUGUUAAAUGUUUGUUUUUCUAUGAAAUCUGAGUGCUCUGAGCCGCUCUGAGCCUUCCGAUUGCAAGAUGUUCCUAAGUUUAGGCCUGAUUGCAAUAUUCCUUUGCUUUAGGUGAUUCAUCUGUCAAUAUGCAUUUGCUAAACCUGAUGUUUUCUCUAACUACUAUGUACUGAUUUUUUUUCUUUUCUUUUCUCUAAUAUUGUAUAAGUUUUAAAUCUUUUCAUAUGUUUUGCUGUGCCGAUAUCUAGAGAGUGCGUUGAAAUAUGAGUUAUUAGGGAUCCCCCAUAUUUCAUGUACUUUUGUUGCCUCUUAUUGUAGCUCAAAGGCAAAUUGGAGAGACUUAUUUGAAUGAAACAAGCUCUAGAUCUCAUCAACGACUUAGACUGGUAUUUACUGGGAUUUGCUUGCAACUGUUGAACAAAAUGGUGUUGGUUUUAUCAUAUUAUGUUUAAGGUUAAUUUAACCUCAGCUCUAAGGCUCUCACCACCGCAGUCCGUCUCCGACGAUCUCAGCCAGCCCUCUCUAUCCGGCUCAACGGGGCCACUGUAUGUCCCUCGUUAAUAUAUCCCAUUUCAGAUUUCUUAUUUUACAUCAAGUAAUUAGAAUUUAAAUUGUUAGGGCUCUUUCCAAUUUUGAUUUGUGUACUGUUUGCCCAAUGUUGAUUACAAAGCUAACUGAGCUGCUUAUUACUUAAGAAUGUUGCUAAUUACCCAAUCAUUAAUGCGUCCAAUCGAUAAGUAUAAUUAUUCAAUUGAAUAUUAACUACUUACUCAAGACUUUUAUUUUGCUAGCUAUUAUUACCAAAUAGUCUACUUAAUCUCGAGUGGAAGUGGCACACCUGAACGUGGAACACAGGUUAGGACCAAACCCUGCAGUAGAUGGUUGCUUUUUUAUAUCAAAUGGGAUACCACUGUUAUUAUCCAAAUGUAAUUGGAGUAUGUUAUUUAACCACUGCCGAUUUCUAUUUUGUUUCUCUUUUCAAUCUAUACUUGUACCAUUUCUACUCAGUGCUUUUGUUUGUUUGAUUUUUUAUUGUACUCUUUUGUUGCAUACUUUUGGCAGGCCUGUCUAAAUGGUACAGUAAUGUAAGUUGUAUCCACGAUCAUUUGGCCAGGUGCCAUUACUAUUAAUAUUACUAAAUUUGCUAGACUUAUUUGAAUGAAACGAGCUCUAGAUCUCAUCAAGGACUUAGACUGGUAUUUACUGCACUUAGGUGUGAAGUUAUAAUGUUUGUGUUACAUAUUUGACUGAAAUGUUUCUUCUCAUGAGAUGCCACUGUUAUUCACCAAAUGUUUCACGAGCCACGUCGGGAUCUUAUCAAGCCUAUUUAUUAAUGCGUCGUGCUCUCUUACUAAUUUUGAACUUAUGGCUAGGUAAAUUGGAGUAUGCUAUUUCUGUCGGACGGUGCGACAUCAGUUGUUAAAAAGUUUUUUUUUAAAAAAAAGGUAAAUUGGAGUAUGCUAUUGUGGUCCAAGGAAACUCCUCAAUUUGUAUUUGUUUAGGGUGCUCAUUUGUAUGGUAUUGUGCCUUAGAAUCCCGUGAACCAUCGAAUUCGAUUGCUUUAGAUGUCGAGGAAAGGUGAUUAUUUUAUUAUUUUCGGCA